AUUGAACGCUGGCGGCAUGCUUUACACAUGCAAGUCGAGCGGCAGCGCGGGGGCAACCCUGGCGGCGAGCGGCGAACGGGUGAGUAAGGCAUCGGAACGUGUCCCGGAGUGGGGGAUAACCCGGCGAAAGCCGGACUAAUACCGCAUAUGCUCUGAGGAGGAAAGUGGGGGACCUGUGAGGGCCUCAUGCUUUGGGAGCGGCCGAUGUCCGAUUAGCUAGUUGGUGGGGUAAUGGCUUACCAAGGCGACGAUCGGUAGCUGGUCUGAGAGGAUGAUCAGCCACACUGGGACUGAGACACGGCCCAGACGCCUACGGGAGGCAGCAGUGGGGAAUUUUGGACAAUGGGGGCAACCCUGAUCCAGCCAUGCCGCGUGCGGGAAGAAGGCCUUCGGGUUGUAGACCGCUUUUAGCUGGGAAGAAAAGGCCUGUCCUAAUACGGCAGGUUCUUGACGGUACCGGCGGAAUAAGCACCGGCUAACUACGUGCCAGCAGCCGCGGUAACAC
rnacentral:rRNA from 1 species